rnacentral:rRNA from 1 species
GGAGGGUGCGAGCGUUAUCCGGAAUUACUGGGUUUAAAGGGUGCGUAGGCGGCUAUGUAAGUCAGGAGUGAAAGUUUGCGGCUCAACCGUAAAAUUGCUUUUGAUACUGCAUGGCUCGAAUUAGGAUGAGGUCAGCGGAAUGUGGCAUGUAGCGGUGAAAUGCAUAGAUAUGCCAUAGAACACCAAUUGCGAAGGCAGCUGGCUAGACCUGGAUUGACGCUGAGGCACGAAAGCGUGGGGAGCGAACAGGAUUAGAUACCCUGGUAGUCCACGCCCUAAACGAUGCUCACUCGACGUAUGGCCCUAGAGGUUGUGCGUCCAAGGGAAACCGUUAAGUGAGCCACCUGGGGAGUACGACCGCAAGGUUG